GUACUCGCUUCGGCGGCACAUACACUAAAAUUGGAACGAUACAGAGAAGAUUAGCAUGGCACCUGCACAAAGAUGACACGCAAGAAAAUGCAAUCCGAAAACAAAGG